rnacentral:rRNA from 1 species
GCAGUCGAACGGUAAGGCCCCUUCGGGGGUACACGAGUGGCGAACGGGUGAGUAACACGUGAGCAACCUGCCCUUGACACCGGAAUAACAGUUGGAAACAGCUGCUAAUGCCGGAUACGACCUUCGAUGGCAUCAUCUGGAGGUGGAAAGUGCUUAGCGGUCAAGGAUGGACUCGCGGCCUAUCAGCUAGUUGGUGAGGUAACGGCUCACCAAGGCUUCGACGGGUAGCCGGCCUGAGAGGGCGACCGGCCACACUGGGACUGAGAUACGGCCCAGACUCCUACGGGAGGCAGCAGUGGGGAAUAUUGCACAAUGGGCGCAAGCCUGAUGCAGCAACGCCGCGUGCGGGAUGACGGCCUUCGGGUUGUAAACCGCUUUCAGUUCCGACGAAGCGCAAGUGACGGUAGGAACAGAAGAAGGACCGGCCAACUACGUGCCAGCAGCCGCGGUGAUACGUAGGGUCCGAGCGUUGUCCGGAAUUAUUGGGCGUAAAGGGCUUGUAGGCGGUUUGUCACGUCGGAAGUGAAAACUCAGGGCUUAACCCUGAGCCGGCUUCCGAUACGGGCAAACUAGAGGAAUGCAGGGGAGAAUGGAAUUCCUGGUGGAGCGGUGGAAUGCGCAGAUAUCAGGAGGAACACCGGUGGCGAAGGCGGUUCUCUGGGCAUUUCCUGACGCUGAGAAGCGAAAGCGUGGGGAGCAAACAGGCUUAGAUACCCUGGUAGUCCACGCCGUAAACGGUGGGCACUAGGUGUGGGGAACAUUCCACGUUCUCCGUGCCGAAGCUAACGCAUUAAGUGCCCCGCCUGGGGAGUACGGCCGCAAGGCUAAAACUCAAAGGAAUUGAC